UACGGAGGUUCCCAAGCGUUGUUCGGAAUUACUGGGCGUAAAGGGAGCGCAGGCGGACAGGUCAGUUUAAAGUGGAAUCCCAGGGCUCAACCCUGGAAUUGCCUUCGAUACUGGGAGUCUUGAGUUCGGAAGAGGUUGGUGGAACUGCGAGUGUAGAGGUGAAAUUCGUAGAUAUUCGCAAGAACACCGGUGGCGAAGGCGGCCAACUGGUCCGAAACUGACGCUGAGGCGCGAAAGCGUGGGGAGCAAACAGGAUUAGAAACCCUGGUAGU
rnacentral:rRNA from 1 species